AAUACUGUUUGGCAGAUAAGCUAUUUAAAAGAUUUCAAAAAUGAGCAUUUGUUUUGGCUAAUCAUGGGAGUAGGAGAGGAUUUAUUAUGUAUAACUUGAGAAUGCAGGUUUUUAAGAGGUUUAGUUUGUGCAUAUAAAGUGGUGCUGUUCUAAGGCUAUACCUACAAAAAGCACAUCCCCUUAACCCAGAAGCAAUACAGGUCAACAAGUUGGAACAGAUUUUAUUACACUCAAUCGAAACUCAUGAUAAUAUUCAAUUCAACAUUUAUUAAGUGUCUCAUUAAAUACAAAGCAAUCAUAAAGGAACUUAAAACCUUCAUCUGACACUUCCUACAGUCAUGUAAGUCACCUUGUGCUCUUAAAAACCAUUCCAAGUGAGUUCAAACUCUGUCAGGUUCAACCAAGCUUGAAAGGCUCAGACCACAAAACCUGAUGGUUCUUCUGAUGGCUAGUCUAGUUAAAUACAGUGUGACUCAUCACCAGAAGGGUGUUCCUACCACAACAGCUCAUGAAACUCCCUACAAAGUCCAGGAAGGGCUUUGGGGGAUAACUUAAUGAUGAAAUUACACACCUUUCAAAGUAGGUGCAAAGGGAGGAUGCAAGGUAUUAUGGAAGGAGUUUUAGAGGCAGAGGACUUGAGUUUACAUCAUGUCUAGAUUUACUUUCAAAUAUUCAGUCUCCUUAGUCCUCAAUUUCUUCCUCUGUAAAAUGAGUUUAGGAUAGUCUGUAAAAUCUCUUCCAGCUUUUGAUCUCUAAUCCCCCUGUGUUUAUGGGACUGCAUUUUUAUUGUUGCCUUGCAUGUAUUCAAGUUAAUCCAUCAAUUGCUCAAACAACAAUAACAACAAAAAAAAAAACUUAGAAAGCAAAGGCUUAUUCAUAGGAAAAUUUGCCCCAAAUUGUCCUUCCAUGAACAAGGGCUACAAUCAUCAUCAUCAUCAUGCUUACUUUGCUGGGAACCUCUCCAUAAGCAUAUGAUGUACAUACACCCAAUAGGAAGAAGCUCUAACCAUUCAAGCAUUAGUCAAACAGUAAGCCCUUGGGAGUUAGCACCUGUUGAGCAUCAACUGUUUGCACACACAACACUCAAUGGAGCCCAUAUUUGUCCCUUGCUCUAGUUAAUCUAGGUCACCAGAUGAGGCAAAACAAUAUCAGAAGGGGCAGGCAAGUAACUCAGGGGAAAGGUAACAGGGUACCAAAAUACAAACUUGCUGUAGAUCACCAAAAAAGAAGGGAUAUAAUUUCCUUUGUCUCAUCUGUUCCAUUCUCUCAUCCCACCGAUUUUUUUUCUCCUCCUCCCAAAAUUGGAACUCACUCAACAUGCCUAGAUCGAAAUGAUCAAGUUAAGUCCUGUUAGCCCCACAAGAUUUGGAUUCACAUUGGAUUCUUUUCCAGUUUUCCUUCUCCUUCAGCGACUAAACAUUUUCCCAAAUAAAUGCAAUAAUCUGGAAAUUUAAACUAGUAUUCUUGGUAAGUAGGUUGCAAGUAUGCUAGCAACCAGGAAGUCUAAACCAGAUAAAAGUAAAUUACCUAACUGGAACUAAGUGGCACCUCAUCCUAACCCUUAAAAACCUUUCCAUGGAAUGUGGAAAAACAAACCAGAAGGAUACUAUAUAUAGCCCACUGACCAGGGAUGCCAGAUCACUUUAAGCAUCAUUUUCAGUAUUGAAAGCAGCUUCCAUGGCCCUGUCAGAGGAAGACAGAGAGCCAGAAUCUCAGCUGCUUCUGUCACCAAUAUGCUGUCUCCAUUCCCAAUAUUUUAGCUAGAGCAGAUUUUUACCUACCUCCCAGGGGAAUUGCAAGGUGUCCUUGCAUCUUGACUACAAGGCUUUUACAAAAUUUUAGUCGUAGUGCAGGGUGAAGGCCAAAUGGGAUGGGCCAAGAGGCAACUAAUGGGACAUAGUGAAGCAUCUGUUGAAUACUGAAUCCAGUAAAAACAGAAGAAAGCUGAAAUCUGCCAAGAUCUCUUCCCAUGCGAGUCUGAGAAGUUAAAUCUUCUGUGAGAUAAAUAAGCCCCUGAACUGAAAACCCAAACUAAGACUGCUGCUGCUUAUAUCCCCUAAUCCCUCCAAGGUCCCUCACUUGAUAUUUGGCUGUAUUGACAUGCAACCUUUCCGAAGAAUCUGUAUGAAAUAAUGCAACAUUUUAACUUUGCUUGGAGCCUCUCUGACAUGCAGGAUUAUUUCCAAGUACUCUGCUUUCACACUUGCAGCUAUCUAAGAUGUAUGAAACUUCAAAACUUUUUUGCCAAACAAGCCUGAGGAAAGGGUGCUGACCAUUACUCCUACUUGUCACAGACUGCCAAAGAAUGAGGUGUUUCCAGUUCGACAUUUAGGUAAAAGUUCCCCUAAGCAAGAAUCCACUCAGCUCAUCUCCAUCUCAAAAUUGACCAAUCUCAGUUAAUAUCUGCACAAUAGCCAGAAUCUAGGUCUGGGAAAACGUGUUCUCUUGUCUUGGUUCUACCAAGGUUUCAGCUCAAAGCAUCACCAUUCCCACGUUCCAUUUGGUUAGGAAGAGUUUAUUUUUUGUUCUUUUAUAAUGAGCAUGGUGACAGCAGAGGUUACAAUUUUGAAAAGAUGAACUAAAUUCUAGUUCUGGAAAAAAAAAAGGCAGGCAGGCAAUUGGGAGGGGGGUUCCAUUCUAGUGAAAUAGCACACAAUUGCACCCUCUAAAAGCAACAGCAUGUAAACUAGAAGGAAAGAAGGACAUUAUGUAUGUUAUAUUAUGCCUGAUAUUCUUUGUGAAUGUCUUUCAUUUUAACUAAGAUUCUACUAGAAAC
rnacentral:lncRNA from 1 species